GGAAAAAAGAGUUUCAAAAUUCAUGGCCAACAAGUCAAAAGAAAGUUGAAAACAUAAGUAUAGUUACCUUGACCCUAAAGCACAUAAUUACUGUUUCAUUACCUUUUCAAUCUACUUCCCCUAGCGAACACAGGGAAGUAAAGAAAAUAGAAAGUACUUACAUAAAAUAAACUAAAAGCAAAGGCACAUUACCAUGUCAACUGGAAAGCGAAAAAAGAAAG
rnacentral:misc_RNA from 1 species